rnacentral:rRNA from 1 species
CAGCAGCCGCGGGAAUACGGAGGGGGCUAGCGUUGUUCGGAAUUACUGGGCGUAAAGCGCACGUAGGCGGCUUGGUAAGUUAGAGGUGAAAGCCUGGAGCUCAACUCCAGAAUUGCCUUUAAGACUGCCGAGCUAGCAGGUGAGAGAGGUAAGUGGAAUUCCGAGUGUAGAGGUGAAAUUCGCAGAUAUUCGGAAGAACACCAGUGGCGAAGGCGGCUUACUGGCUCAUACUGGACGCUGAGGUGCGAAAGCGUGGGGAGCAAACAGGAUUAGAUACCCCUGUAGUCCCUGUCUCUUAUAC